GUUUGUACAUUAAAGUAUUUAAUUAGUGAAAUAAUUAUUAUCAAUGUAACAAGCUGAAAAAUACAGCAACUUGAUACAAGACUGAGGUAACAAAAUACUUCACCAAAAAUCGAAAGAACCCCAUGGAGGGCUGAUUGACGUUCAGUGGUUACUGCGGGUGAGACGAUUCACAAGAAUUAGAGAAAGUCCUUACACAACUGCAUGCAGGGGUCUGCUGGAGAAAAAGACAGCCCAGGAGAGUGCAACAGAUUUAACAGGAAACGAAUUAAAAUGUAGAAACUGAUUUUCAACUUACUUCGAAGAGUACAUAAGAAAUUGAAAACUACUCUCUAUGCAACAUUUUGAAUGCUAAGUGGAAAACCAUGCAUUUUGGCACGAAAUUUAUUAAAGAUUAUACCAUACUAAUUAAUUACUAUUACUUCGUUACUGAAUAGUCACAGUCGUUCAGCAAUGGAUAAAGAGAUUAAUGGUUCUAAAAUGGACAGAUGAUCUCCUGUGUUGCUGCUGUAAGCGGGGUUUUGAGGCUGCCCAGGGGGUGUACACGCUUGUGCAGCAUACGGCUGCAAGGCGGUCUGAAGUCCAUGGUACAAGUUCUCAACACCCAAGAAAAUGCAGUUCUCGCUCAUAUUGUAGUUGUAUUUAACAUUGAAAUUAAAAACAGAAACCUAUGGAGCAGAUACUGUGACAGUUUGACCCUACUCUCUCAUUCCACCUUUGGAAUCCUUGGCGUGCCCAACUGCAGCUCUGUGCCUGGCUCUUCUGGGCCAAGCAGCCUCUAGGAUAGUGACUUCAUCCUCAUUGCAACUGAAUUUUCGCAGACCAAGAGGCCAUUCAGUCUGUUGAGCCUUUUGAUGCCUUUCUAGAGGAAUCUAUGCACAGGAUUUAUACUCAGGACUAGGAGAGAGGCAAAGUCUUGCCUAAGGAGAUAGGUGUGGUGGGGACUGUUUGUUGAGUGGUCAGGUCCAUGAGGGCAGGGAUCAGAUCUGACUUGUUCUCAGCAUAGGCAGCACUUGCUAGUGCUGUGAAUGAAUAAAUGAAUGAAUGGGUGGUUUUGUGCAGAGAAUCUGUUAUUUCUAAAGGACUAGGAGUUUGUUUUUUAACAUGAAACCACUUGAUAUGUAAAAAUGAUGUAAAGCUGAUUUAAGUCAUUUAUGGGCUCACAAACCAGAAAGCUGUAUUUUUGGCAGUGCUCCCCAGUGGUUACAGACAUCAGCAGUCUCGGGGAAGGGCUCUGGGCCCCACCUGAGGAACAGAGCAGAUGUUGCUUGCAAGUGGCUUCCUGUUUCAUGGAGCAUUUCCGCCUGUAAAAUGGCAUCUGAAAAGACCGAGCUGAGCACAGAGCCCUAGGACCUGUCACUGUCACUAGAGACCUCCCUUCAGCUUCCAGAACCACUUGGAGGGACCAGGAAGUCUGUGACUGUGCCACGUGGCACCAUGAAGUCCCCAUCCUCCUGGACCCAAAUGCCUGGUAUGAACUUGCCUUUGCUGAGGUCCCCCAGACUUCAGAGCUGCUGCCUGCAAGGGGCCUGCUGAGUCUACUCCCAGGCACUACGCCUAACUGUCCUCCUUGAAGCGCCACCCUCUAUGCCAUGCGCCUAGCCCUCCCAAGAUGGGCUAGGAGAGGACUCCUGCUUCCCCCGCUCCUCCUCUGGCUGAUCCCUGGGGAAAACACACAUGGACACUUAGGGACAGGAGCAUCAGUGCUGCCCACCUGACCCCCAGGGAGCAGGAGGCUUCAGCCCGCCCCCAUCUGCUGCUGAGGGCUCAGGUAGCCAUUUCUCUCAUAAGCCUUGACAGCUGGGGAUGUGCUUCCAGUCUUUUGCUCAGCUGCAGGGGUUACCAGGGAAGUGGAGGCAGGAGAGGCAGGAGGGCUCAGGGGCAACAAGCAGACAAUCGGGGGAGUCAGGCAGACCUGGGUUCAAUCCCAGCUCCACUGCUCACUAAUGUGGGACCUUAAAUGUGUGUCUGCCCCUUUCUGAGCCUCAGGACCCUCAGCAUAAAACGGAGACAGUAAGAGAAUCUACCUCACAGGGAUGUUGAGAGAAUUCAGCCAAUUCCUGCAUGGGAAACAUUUCGCAUAACACCCUUCGUGGGACGGCUGGGGGCGACCAGGGGAGGGGGCCAUACCAUGAGCCAGGCCAGAGAGGGCCUAUGUCAAGACAGAUCCUGCUGGCUCAAACACACUGAGAAGCUAGGGACCCCCUUUCACCAGCAGCUUUGCGUGGUCCAUGGCUGGCUGUCAGUAAGUUAGCUAGCCGCAUUAUUCCCAAGGGUUGUGGGGCAGGGAGGCCCUUUAGUGAGUCUGGAGUAUUCCCAUGAAGUCAGCUCUUGGCAGGGAUGACCUAAAUAGAUGCUAGAACCUGAUCCUGGGGUGAUAUCACAGCUGCUCAUAAUCAUCCCCCAGUGGGUGUUUCUGUG
rnacentral:lncRNA from 1 species